UGUUAUCGAAGGAAUGCCUUAAUUCAUAACUA
rfam:Capnocytophaga ochracea DSM 7271, complete genome.